GUUAAUUUACUUUAUAUUCAGUCAGUACCUAUCUAAGUGUGUUAUAAAGUUGCAUGCGUCAAGUAUUAAGCUUUUCUUAAAAGCAACAUGAAUUUAAUUUUGUUUGUCCGUUCAUCCCGUUGUUUAUUUAUAACCUAUUUAAUGUCAGUUUGACAAUUGACGUUGCCGAGCUGAGAUGGGAAGACCGAAUGAUCAGUUACCACCUUCAGAGGCACUACCAGGGAUUGGGAACAAUCAUCUUGUGUUCCACGACGGAAAGGGGUUUUAUUACAUAUGCAAGGAGUUUUCUACUUGCUUGUAUAAAAGGCAGUUUGAAUGU